UGCCUACGGGGCGCAGCAGUGAGGAAUAUUGGUCAAUGGGCGGGAGCCUGAACCAGCCAAGUCGCGUGAGGGAAGACUGCCCUAUGGGUUGUAAACCUCUUUUGUCAGGGAGCAACGCCGGCUACGUGUAGCCGGACUGAGAGUACCUGAAGAAAAAGCAUCGGCUAACUCCGUGCCAGCAGCCGCGGUAAUACGUAGGGGGCGAGCGUUAUCCGGAAUUACUGGGCGUAAAGGGAGCGUAGACGGCGAGGUAAGCCUGCAGUGGAAGCCCGCGGCCCAACCGCGGAACUGCUUUGGGCACUGUU
rnacentral:rRNA from 1 species